rnacentral:lncRNA from 1 species
UGUCUGGCGUGGGGCAAACACUCAGCAUGUGUCAAGUAGCAGGAGUGGCAGCCCUGCUACCAUUAGGGUUGUUACUGGUUGUGGCUCCAUCACACCUUACAGUCCUGGACACGGAGCCUUGAUGGGUCACACCCGCUAGCUGGUAGCAGAUCCAUGGUGACACCAGACCCUGUGACCAUAUUCUAGAGCCAUGCUUGUGAUGCUCUUUGGCUUUCCUUCUGAAAUGUUUUGGGAGAACGUAGUGUGACAGCCCCCCUCCACCAUGGCCCCCAGUGAGUCCUGCGGCCAGAUAUUCACAGCCGUGUGUAGGGUCCCCUUCCGCCUCGGAUGAGAGCUGGUCUCUGUGACCAGUGGAAUACAGCGGAAUGGAUGCUGUGUUGUUUUUGAAAUUAGGAAAGGCACUGGCUUCCGGUUUGGUCCUUUCCUUCUUGGGGAGAGGCCCCCUGUCUUCUCCAAGCAGCUGUAGGGAGAGGCCAUGGGGUGGGGGUGGAAGCCUCUGAAACAGCCAGCGAGCACCUGAGGUCUGCUGGCAGUCUCGGGCGUGAGCUUGGGAGCCAGUCCUCCAGCCCCCGUCCAUCCUUGAACUGACCGUGGUCCCUGCCGACAGCUUGACGGCAACCUCGUGAGAUGCCCUGAGCCCCAGACAACCAGCUCAGCCAUCUCCGCAAUCCUGAGCCCCAAGACUGUGCAGGAAUGUUUGUGCUCUAAGCAGCUAAGGUACGAUGCAGCAGGGGCGACACACACACGUGGCCGUGGUCUCAGUCUUUCUGUCUGUAAUGACGUAGCUUUAACCUCUGGUUCCACCGCCGUUUCCUAUUUUGGCAUCGAGGAGCUAAGAUGGGAAGAAUUGCUUUCGGUGCUUGCCCGCGCUCACACAGAUUGUAAGCAUCUCGAAGGGAGAAUCUUCUCAGGACUCCCCACAGUGCCUGCGACGUGGUGUGUGUGUGUGGGGGGGGUGUCUGUAAAUUAUGCGUGGAGUUAAUGAAUACAUACAUUUUACCCAAGUAAAGACAAAAAGGCAUUCAAGUUAACGUAUCUGCUUAUUUAAGUCUGUUUUGUAAAUAUGAGAGGAAUGUUUCAUACUCAGAUCUGGGCGGUUAUCUGAGUUUUCCUCUUCUUUGGAUCCAUGAUACAUUUUAAUAAUACUUUCUUUUUCCCGAUUUAACCUUGACUUAUUAUCAUGACUUCUUAUCGAGAUUUCUGCUUGAUAAUCGCAGCGGUUUCUUUGAAGUAGCGUUAGUCAGGUGGGAAGGAGCUGCUGUAAAUAGCAAGGAGAGAGUGGGUUCUAUCCCUGGCCUCGCUCAGUGGGUUAAGGCUCUGGUGUUGCCCUGAGGUGUGGGGUAGGUCACAGAUGCGGCUUGGACCAGCAUUGCUGUGGCUGUGGUCUAGACCAGCAGCUGUAGCUCCGAUUUGACCCCUAGUCUGGGAACCUCCAUAUGCUGCAGGUGUGGCCCUAAAAAGCAAAACCAAUCAAUCAAUCCCUCUUUUAAAAAAAGAAUUUAGAUGUGUGAUGUUUAUAGUUUACAGACGAGGUGAUGGUUUCCUCACGUCGGUCAGAGAUGACUGGAUAGAUAUCUUUUAUUUGGCGUCUGUAAUAUUUUGACAUUGAAUUUUUAUACCUUAAGACCAGGUAUCCAUAGGGGUGGAGUUUUCUACUUUUAUCCUACACGUUAAGCUCUGAUUAAGUUUAAUAAGGUUGGAAAAGACUCUCAGCCACCUCUGUCACCCCAACUGUAUCCCACCCACUUCAAUUAACCUGUAAGCGUCUGGGGGAAGAAACAAAACAAAACACUCGCAAUCGGAAAUCCACAGUGCAAGGUGGAGAAUGUGUUCCUCUUUGAUUCCUUCAAGGCCGAAGGCAAAGCAUCUAGAAGGUUCAGGGCUCCAGUCUUUGUCAUAGUAUCUUCCUCUCUUGUCUGCAGCCCGCCAGUCGUCUGGCACUGAAUGAACCAGCAGUAAUUUACUGCAUGCCGCCUGCAGGUCCGGCCCCGUCCUAGGCAUCAGACAUGCACAGUAAGCUAGAUUUGUGCGAGCUGCACAGUUUGCCUGUAAGCAGAUCAUGCUUAGGGAUGGUGGCCUCGGGGUGCUCACAAGCCUGUGUUUUGGGGGAGAAAGGCCUGGGGCAAAUCCUCAGGGACAUUGGGGACAAAAGGGGAAUGCUAAAGUGCUUGAGGGAGUGCAGGGGAGAGGGUGUUUCUCCUCAAGGCCUUGCAGCAAUGGUGACAUUUAGGUUGGGCCCUACAAGGCGAGGAGGAUUUUUAGGGGUUGGAAGAGGACAGGAUCGUCCAGGCAGUCUCAGUCAUAGAAAGACAACUGCAAACCAGCUUAAAUUAUAAAAGGGGAUAGGAGUUCCCGUCGUGGCACAGUGGUUAACGAAUCUGACUAGGAACCAUGAGGUUGCAGGUUCGAUCCCUGGCCUCACUCAGUGGGUUGAGGAUCAGGUGUUGCCCUGAGCGGUGGUGUAGGUCACAGACACAGCUUGGAUCUGGCGUUGCUGUGGCUGUGGCGUAGGCUGGCAGCUGCAGCUCCAAUGAGACCCCUCGCCUGGGAACCUCCAUAUGCCUUGGGUGUAGCCCUAAAAAGAUAAAAGACAAAAAAA